GAAACUGGCAACACUGAUGGAGCUAUACAUGAAUUCUAUUAUUAUUUAUGACCUGUGGAAAUUGAGAGAAAGUCAAGUAAAAGCUAAGUUGAUAGUUGGAGAGUUGUUCUUCGGAAUGCAAGAAAAUACUAAAAUCAUUGAAGCUGAUCAAACAGAAUCUGCUGUCAAUAAGUGUUGAAACGUUCCGAAGCUGAGACUACCCAACAAACUUCAAUGAUUUUAUUUUAUCAUUGUCAGAGAAGAUGACCACUAUGGAGGAUAUUGAACGAAGACUUAUCCUGUUGGAGGAGGAGAAUAAAUCUUGGAGGGUACAUUAUGAGGAGGAGCAGAGGCGUAUAAAAAAGGAGUACGAUCAAGGGUUGAUCAAAAUUAGGGAAAGUUUUAAAAAGGCUAUUGAAAAGGUCAAGUUAGACUUCUGUGCUAAGAAGAAAGCAGUUGAAAGUCAGUAUGGUAUGGCAAAUGCUAUAAGGCCUAGCUGCCGCAGUGAUUCGGAAUAUAUUGGAGUGGCAGUGAACCGUACAUCACCAAAUUUGGGUACAAACAAUGAGCAGCAAAAGUGUUCUAUAGGCACUGCCUUCGCUUCACAAAUUAAACCUAAAACAAACAUUUUUGAUAUAGUUUACAUUGAUCAGAACAGAUCGAUCGUUUUUCGCGAAACGGAAUACAACAAACUGUUUAUAGAUCGCAGUCAAUUUUCCAUUAUACUGGACCCAAAAAUACAUUUUCAAUUGUGUGAAGCGUUGGUACUUUUCGAUCCAGGUGGUGUCAAUUGUCGACAAGAGUGUGUGGAUAAUAGAUGUUGCUGUGUUAAAGAUAGUAGCAAUUCCAUGGAAAAUAGGAAAUCAACAAAAAGAUUCGACGUGUUACCAGUUUCACGGGGGGAGAUUGUUGUGGAGGUUUUAUGUUUUUGGUGAAACUGGCAACACUGAUGGAGCUAUACAUGAAUUCUAUUAUUAUUUAUGACCUGUGGAAAUUGAGAGAAAGUCAAGUAAAAGCUAAGUUGAUAGUUGGAGAGUUGUUCUUCGGAAUGCAAGAAAAUACUAAAAUCAUUGAAGCUGAUCAAACAGAAUCUGCUGUCAAUAAGUGUUGAAACGUUCCGAAGCUGAGACUACCCAACA